GCCCUUACUUUAGCCCUAAUUAAUCAAAUGAACUUCACUCUCUUAUUUCCCUUAUCUAAAUCAUUUAUAAAACUUAGUAAAGGCGAUUGAAAAUUUCUUUAGAGCUAUAAACAUAGUACCGCAAGGGAAAGAUGAAAUAUUAAUGAAAUAUGUUCAAGCACAAAAUAGUAAAGUUUUAUUCCUGUACCUUUUGCAUUAUGGUUUAACGAGUCUAACCGAGCACAAAGAUUUUUAGUUCGACUUCCCGAAACUAAGUGAGCUACUCAAGGGCAGCUUUAUGAGCAAACUCGUCUCUGUGGCAAAAGAGUGAGAAGACCUUUUAGUAGGGGUGACAGACCUACCGAACUUAGUGAUAGCUGGUUGCUCAAGAAAAGGAUUUUAGUUCAGCCUAAAUUUAUAUUAAUACUGCUUUAUGAACUUAUAAAUUUAGAGUAAUUCAAAUAAGGUACAGCCUAUUUGAAUCAGGAUACAACCUUAUCUAAUGGGUUAAGUCAUUUACCAAUAAUUAAGUGGGCCUAAAAGCAGCCAUCUUUAAAUAGCGUCAAAGCUUUCUUAUACAAACUUUAAAAUUUCACCAAGAAACCUAACCCCUUAACUAGUAUUGAGCAAUUCUAUAAUUUUAUAGAAAGUUUUAUGUUAAAACUAGUAACAAGAGUUUGACACUCUCUUAGACGCAAGCAUAAGUCAGAAUCGGACCAAACACUGACAAUUAACGUAUGUAAUAACCUUAGCAUUAACACAACAAGAAAAACAUUCUUAACCCUACGUUAACCUAACGCUAGAGCAUCACAAGAAAGAUUAAAAGAAAAAGAAGGAACUCGGCAAAAAUUAACCCCGCCUGUUUACCAAAAACAUCGCCUCUUGAGUAAAUAUAAGAGGUCCAGCCUGCCCAGUGACAUUGUUCAACGGCCGCGGUAUCCUAACCGUGCGAAGGUAGCGUAAUCACUUGUUCUUUAAAUAAGGACUAGUAUGAAUGGCAUCACGAAGGUUACACUGUCUCCUUUUUCUAAUCAGUGAAACUAAUCUCCCCGUGAAGAAGCGGGGAUAGAAAUAUAAGACGAGAAGACCCUAUGGAGCUUUAAACUAGAUAACAUUUACUUCUCUCUAUUUAUAACUUUAGAGCCAUCACAUAUACCUAAGUAAAAUGAUUAUAAGUUUUGGGUUGGGGUGACCUUGGAGUAAAAUAUAACCUCCAUGUCGAAAAAUUACAACAAUUUUAACCAAGAGUUACAACUCUAAGUAUCAACAUCUUGACGUCAAUUGACCCAAUAUUUGAUCAACGAACCAAGUUACCCUAGGGAUAACAGCGCAAUCCACUUCAAGAGCUCCUAUCGACAAGUGGGUUUACGACCUCGAUGUUGGAUCAGGGUAUCCCAGUGGUGCAGCCGCUACUAACGGUUCGUUUGUUCAACGAUUAAAACCCU
rnacentral:rRNA from 1 species